GACUUGGAUCCCGCCCCUUCCGGCCGCUGGGGUGGGGGUUGCUGCAAGGCGCUUCGCAGCGAGUCCGAGCUAGCGCGCCAUCCCGGCGGCGGCUUCUGGGGUCUGCAUCGCCGCGUCCUCGCCAGCCGUCCCAGCUUUUCACGUCCGGUCUGACCUCGAGGCGGGGCCCACCAAGAAUCCCGUGGCCGUUUCCUAACCGAUGGGGUUAAGGGGAAAACGCGCCGGAAAAGGGCAGCCGGCCGUGUUCGCCGUUGUGUCGGUCACAGCGACGUUGGGCGGUUUGUAAGCGUGUGGACGGAGCUGUCGCCAGGAGCGGCGGACAAGCCGAGGGCCGGGCCCGCCGACGGACCCAGGCGAUAUCCUCCCGGAAGAGCCGACUCUAGCCGGUCGUCGUGAGACACUUUGGGGUUUUAAUGAGGAAUUUUGCCGAAGGAGACCAACGGGCUCGUGAGGGCGUCCGGCAGAUGACGGAGCUGAAGUUGGAUGGGAUUGGGGAAGACACUGGGAGGAGGCUUUCCCGGCAGAGGAAACCGGCUCCUGUUACUGUGCAGCGUCUCCAGAAAAGCCCACUCAAAAUGAAACCCUGAGAAUCGAUUUCCUUCCUACUAGGCAAGGCGGUCCCCAGGCCAGUGUGCCACGGCCUUUCUGGGUGCUCAAGGGCACCGGACUCCCACCCAACUGUCCCCAAGAAAAGCUCGGAAGACCCAGCGUGGGGGAAUGAAGAGUCCUUGUGUGAAUCCAGGUCGGCAGGGUCCCAGAUUAUAGUUCAGGCCUUGGCAACAUCUUACUUCAUUCCCUGCGGGAUGCAGCCAGUACAGCUGCUCUGCCAGGGAUGGUUUUAACAGCGCUGCAUGAUCGGCCCCUUCCUACCUGUCUGGAGUAUCCUUGCCCUGAAUCCUGUGUUUCACACACUCAGGAUUGCUUGCUAUUUCUAAUUUUGUGCCUCCCUGCCUUGGUCCUUAUUGUUCCUUCUCUCUGUGAUAAUGCUUUCCUUCACCUCCACUUGGUCAAACCGGUUUUAUCAUUCAGGACCCACUUCAUUUGCUGAAAAUCCUUCCCCUAAUUUCACAAGCAGGACAUCUUCCUUGUGUCUAAGGCACUUUCACUGGAGCUAUUUGUGUUCCGUGCCAACUGAAAACAGCCAGGAACAUGGCUGUACAAGAAAAUAAUAAAAGGUUAGGUUUAUUCAACUUGCUGCAGCAAAGGAAUGCACCAGAGGACACGUGAGUCUCCUCAAAACAGGGGUGUUAUGGAAGGGUCCUCGAGGGGUGUGGGGCUGUAGUUGGCCAUAGAUGGUCUUGGCAAGGAUGGGUCAGAAUUUGUAAUCAGGAGAGCCACUGGAGGGGUCAGUGGUUUUGUCUUGGAGCACGUACUCUGCAUGAGCUGAGUCACGUGUGUUGCACAGCAUGGUUUAGUCCUGUUUUUCUGUUUGGGUGUCAUGGUCAGGCCCACUUUGCUAGCUGUGGUUUCUUUCCUUCUCAGUCCCCCCACCCACCCUCCAGCAUAGCUGCCACCCCGUUCCUGGCAGGGGGAUGGGACCACUAUGAUUGGUUAGAUCAGGUCCCUGAACCUCAGUGGUGUUGACAGUUUGGGCCAGAUAAUUCCUUGGAGGGAAGGGAGAGGGAGGAGCUGGCCUGUGCACUGUAGGAUGUUUAGCAGCGUCCCUGGCCUCCACCCACUAGAUGCCAGCAGCAUCCCACCUAGUCGUGAAAAUCAGUAACGUCUCCAGGCCUUACCAAGUGUCCCAUGGGUUAGACCAACCAGAACCCACUCCCCCUCACCCUGAGCCUGUUCCAGCGGUGCUGCUUCCCAGUCACUUGUUUUUAAGUCACCUGUGCCAGGAGGACCGUCCCAGGGGUUAGAUGCCAUAAUCAGAGUCUUGAGGCCUUCACAGUGUCGGCAACUGGACUGAAAGGCAUGACAUGAGGGUGAAAAUAAACACGUUUGCCAGACAGCAGUGGCAAGUGCCCCAGCUGGUCACUGUGAUUCGUGUUGCCCCAGGAUGCUGUCCCUCUUUAAGACAGGGGUUCUCAACUUUAGCUGCAUAUUAGAAUCAUCCAGGAAGCUUUGAAAUAUCCUGAUGCCUCAGUCCCAUCCCAGAAAUUCCAAUGUAAUCUGUCUGGGUUGUGGCUUGGGCAUGGGUAGUUUUAAAGGGUCUCCAGACACUUUUUUUUUUUUUUUUUUUUUUUUUUUGGCUGUGUUGGGUCUUAGUUGCAGCACGCAGGAUCUUCAUUGCGGCAUGUGGGAUCUUUCACUGAGGCGCACGGGCUCUCUUUGUUGUGGCGCACGGGCUUCUCUCUAGUUGUGGUGCACGGGCUCCAGAGCACGCGGGCUUUCUAGUUGAGGCGCAUGGGCUCUCUAGUUGAGGCGCGCCGGCUUAGUUGCCCCGCGGCAUGUGGGAUCUUAGUUCCCCGACCAGGGAUUGAACCCUCUUCCCCUGCAUUAGAAGGCGGAUUCUUUACUACCAGGGAAGUCCCUCCGCAGACACUUUUAAAAGCCGAAGUCGAGCAUCACUGCUUAGAGAAGAAAUAAGAAAUAAAGACAUAUAUACAGCAUUCCAGUUUGAGGGGGACAGGGGUCUGAGUCCAGUGUCCCUAAGAUUGGAGACCAAGAGAAUCACCCCACCACCACUUUGCUUUGGGAGCCUCAGAGACUGCUUGCGGAAAACAUGUGAGAGGCAGCUCUGUGCCACGAGGGGCUGGGGGUGCUCAGGCAUGACCCUGAGGGCUUGGGACCGGAGGGGCUGUGACUUGUCAGUGGGAACACAGAUUAUGAUGAGGAACGGGCUGGGUGGCUUCCCACACGCAGGCAGUGUUUCCUAUCAUGACCUUGACGGGAGUUACCUGGGUGUUUGUUUAUGUCAAUUUGUUAAGCUGUACAUUUAUGUUUUGUAUACCUUUCUAUAUAUGUUUGUUAUAUUUCAUCCCCAAAAAUGUCUGAAAGAAAGCUGUUGCCUAGUUUG
rnacentral:lncRNA from 1 species